rnacentral:ncRNA from 1 species
GAGAACAUCGGGAUUUUCUUAAUGUUCCGUUCCGAUCCCAGCAAUUCUCCGACAGGACGUCGGAGAAAGGCAUAUUGCGGCAAGGAUGCCGCAUAUAUGCCGUUUGCGUCCACAGCGGGACCCCCUGCCGGAACAUUUAGAAAAUCCCGAUGUUCGCAG